rnacentral:precursor_RNA from 15 species
GCUCCUAGCUUUGACCUCCAGGUGCACAAUAGUGUAGAGGUGGCUAAGAUGCUGUGAUCUGUCUCAGGUAAUUUAUCCACCUCUCACAAUUGAGUAUCUAGGACUCCCCACAGAGGAGAU